UACGAAGGGGGCUAGCGUUGCUCGGAAUUACUGGGCGUAAAGCGCACGUAGGCGGAUUGUUAAGUCAGGGGUGAAAUCCUGGAGCUCAACUCCAGAACUGCCCUUGAUACUGGCGGUCUCGAGUCCGGGAGAGGUGAGUGGAACUGCGAGUGUAGAGGUGAAAUUCGUAGAUAUUUGCAAGAACACCAGUGGCGAAGGCGGCUCACUGGCCCGGUACUGACGCUGAGGUGCGAAAGCGUGGGGAGCAAACAGG
rnacentral:rRNA from 1 species